AUACGGAGGAUCCGAGCGUUAUCCGGAUUUAUUGGGUUUAAAGGGUGCGCAGGCGGCCAUUUAAGUCAGCGGUUAAAUCGUGGGGCUCAACCCCAUUCUGCCGUUGAUACUGGGUGGCUUGAUUGCGGUCGAGGUUGGCGGAAUUCGUUGUGUAGCGGUGAAAUGCAUAGAUAUGACGAAGAACACCGAUUGCGUAGGCAGCUGACCAGACCGCAAAUGACGCUCAUGCACGAAAGUGCGGGGAUCGAACAGGAUUAGACACCCUGGUAGUCCGCACAGUAAACGAUGAAUACUUGUUUUCGGCGAUAUAAUGUCGGAGGCAAAGCGAAAGCGAUAAGUAUUCCACCUGGGGAGUACGCCGGCAACGGUGAAACUUAAAGGAAUUGACGGGG
rnacentral:rRNA from 1 species